CUUGAGAUAAUAUAGUGAUGCCAAACAAAUGAAGGCUUACAAAAGCAAAAAUUAAUCAUUUUAAGGGAGAAAAUUGGGAAGGUCUACUCAGGAGGAAAAGGCACUGUCAGAGAGACCUACCUAAUAUAUCAUUAUCAUGCAAUGAAAUAAUGUUAACAACCUCAUUCCUGCCCAAAAUCAAAGGACAAAACUUCCUCCGACACAUCCAGAAUCUCUUCGACUUCAACCUCUUUGGCUUCGUAUUCCUCUUCUUCGUCGCUGGCUUCGCCAUCCCGCAGCUUCUGCCGCAACAACUUCUCUUCUUCGUGCAAUCUCUUCCAUUCAUUCACCCACUUGUCCCACUCAUCCUUCAACAUUCUCCGUUUCUCGCGAUCUUGCUCGCUCAGUAGCAUAGAUACAUCCUGAUCUUCAGCCUCGCCUACUCUU
rnacentral:misc_RNA from 1 species